rnacentral:rRNA from 1 species
UACGGAGGGGGCUAGCGUUGUUCGGAAUUACUGGGCGUAAAGGGCGCGCAGGCGGCUGCUCAAGUCAGGCGUGAAAGGCCUGGGCUCAACCCGGGAAUUGCGCUUGAGACUGGGCUGGCUUGAGUGCGGGAGAGGAUGGUGGAAUUCCCAGUGUAGAGGUGAAAUUCGUAGAUAUUGGGAAGAACACCGAUGGCGAAGGCAGCCAUCUGGACCGACACUGACGCUGAGGCGCGAAAGCGUGGGGAGCAAACAGG